CUGAUCGCGACCAUUGG
rnacentral:misc_RNA from 1 species